AUUGAACGCUGGCGGCAGGCCUAACACAUGCAAGUCGAACGAGUGGCGGACGGGUGAGUAAUGUCUGGGAAACUGCCUGAUGGAGGGGGAUAACUACUGGAAACGGUAGCUAAUACCGCAUACCAUCGGAUGUGCCCAGAUGGGAUUAGCUAGUAGGUGGGGUAAAGGCUCACCUAGGCGACGAUCCCUAGCUGGUCUGAGAGGAUGACCAGACCCACUGGAACUGAUACACGGUCCAGACUCCUACGGGAGGCAGCAGUGGGGAAUAUGGCACAAUGGGCGCAAGCCUGAUGCAGCCAUGCCGCGUGUAUGAAGAAUGCUUUCGGGUUGUCAAGUACUUUCCGCGGGGAGGCGUUACCCGCAGAAGAAGCACCGGCUAACUCCUUGCCAGACGCCGCGGUAAUAC
rnacentral:rRNA from 1 species